CGCUGCUUGUCGCACGAUGCCAAAAAUGAUAACUUGGACGUGUGGCACCGGUCUAGUGCAUGCACAACCUACUGCCAAUGUCGCGACAGAACUGCAAGCAACACUGCCACGUGACCUUUCGGCCAAAAUCGAAGACGCAGUUCACCAGGGUGGACCGCGUUAGCAGAGGUGCUCCCACCAUAAGAACAGCAGGCUCCCUCCACGGCGUUACACGCCCUCCGACGGGAAGACAGUUUCUUAUGUUUCUUUGGUUCUGACCUACGAGUACAUACCAUAUGACGCGAGCACCUAAACUGCUUCCCCGUGUCGUUCCCACGCACAGUGUCACUUUACGUCAUCCGGCUCUCUUUGUGCG